UCUGACCAAAGGGUCCCUGAGAAUAAGGGUUUUUUGAGUUCCCUCUCUGAAUGGAACAGUAGUGUGCUUGCUGGUCUUCUGCUCCAGUCACUUCCAGGCGGUUGAAAGUAAAUAGUGCUCUAUCGGUACAAUAGACUAAAAUGGAGCAACGGAAUAAUAGGACACUACCACUUCAUAUAGAAUGAGGGGACUCUGGAACCCUACAUUCUCAGGUUUAAUAGGGGUCCCCAAGGGUCAGACUUCUCACCAUUUGUUAUUUAUCACCUAUGUAUACAUGAUACAUAUUUGAGGGAUAACCCCUUUAAUAACAAAAAAAAAAUGUAUCCAACAGAACAUCCUAACUUUUUCAGCUACUCAAAUGCAGACAGUAAUUUUAUUUAUGUGGCAAUAUAAGAAUCACAAAGAAAAUUCAUGGUAAUAUUUUAAUUGGGAGGGGCUAAAAUAAAAAAAAUAGGGAGAAAUGAAACAAAAUUAACCAAAAGUUCACGUUACAGUACACAAAUAUUGACAUUUUCAAAAUUGUCUAGUUUUUGGUACAGACAAGAAUUUCAUUCUAAGUCAGUCAAUAGGAUUUCUCUAUUAUCCCCAAACUCAAAAUAAAAACAGUUCCUAUGACUUUACAGUUGAAGUUAAAAUUUGAGAAGGCAUAAUCUAAAUCUUGUUAAUUCUAGCUGAUUUACUUAACUAGCGAAUUUAAGAAACUGGGCAAAACCUUUUCUUUUUUUUUUUUCUUUUUUUUUUUACAGAAAGCUUUUCGACAGUAGAAUUGUGCAAUAUGGAGAUAAAGCAAAUACACAUGGCACAUUCUCAUUCGGAUCUCAUGUAAAAAGUUACAAACAUCCCUAAUUCAAAUAAAUAA